AGGACGCGACGAAUUAUUGUUAACGGUUCGGUCACUCGUUAUGGUCCGCGAACCAGUUGCCAGCCCAAGGGGUUAAUAUACACGGGCGACACACGGGCCAACGUGAUGGACGCUAAUCGCGUCUGAACUAAGUUAAAACACAGGCACCCCGCCGUUCUUAUUUACGUCCGACAAUAAGUCAAUUCAUCACUCUGCGAUUUGGCCUUAAGUGGUAUCACUGACUCAUACACACGCAGCCGUCUCUCGGGGCGGCGUGCCUAUUUCGGGCAUAAAUCACCGUGCCGGCACGGUGCGUAAUAAUGAGCAAGCGAGCGUGGCACGCGACCCUUUUAAGCGUGCUCGCUGGAAAACGAGUGGUUCGCAAGGUAGCGGGUAUUAGCGUGCACUCUACGUGCCCCUACUUAAUCCUGGAAAACGCCCAGACCCGCGAAAUUCUUCGCUCGUAUCGGAUCGUGUAAAAAUGCAACCCGAUUACGAGUACACAGGUACUAGAAGCACAAACUACGGAUGAAAUCAUACAGCACAGUUCCCGAAAUCGUGGUGUGGCGCAAGAAGUUGAUGGAUCAGAAAUAAGUGGCAAGGUACAAAAUUCCCAGCUAGAAGGGUGAACUAUAGAAAGUAUAUUGCGGUGGCGGUGUCAGGAGUUCGCGAUAUUUUGGCCGGAGGGCAGCAGGAGGUGCGGAGAAGCCAGGAAGUACGGGGAACCGACCGGAUCCAGCGGAGUUCUGGCACUGGUUUCGUUCACAGGCUCGUGGCCCACAGCCACGAAAACCCAGGGGGGACAUGGAUCGUGGGCAACAAGUCACCGGGAAACGGCGCGUGACCGCCACAUUCACGCUGCCAGAUUUACGACAAUAAAAAUGGGCGCCGCCGAAUCGACGAUCCUCCUUUCGCCGGGUAAACAAUACCGGUUGAUAGAAUUAUGGCUUCGCCCCGUUCGAUUUUCGAUGCGUGGAUCUUCUCCUCGAGCGGCUCCCUGGUGCCAUUGUGUUAUUCACUUUCGGCAGCGCUGUAUCGAGGAAUCGAUUCGCUUUAUCGGGCAACAGUUACGACACCGCAACGGCAACCACCACCGUUUCCAAGGAUAACUUGGACAACUAAAGACGAUUAUCUUGAUCAGGGUAAUUACUUGCAGAUUGCUUGGGGGUGAGGUGAUUGGAGCAGGAGGAAAGGAGAAGAAAGUAAUGAAGGCAUAUUUGGAGCUCGACGUCAAAUCAUAUUGGUGUCCAUUGUGAAAUCGACGGCAAGAAAUUGGCAGAAUGUUUCUUAUUUAUGAAUUUUAAUGGGCAUAAUGGAACCAUCGUUAGUUGACCAUCGAUAUCCUCGAUAAUUAUCUCUGUAGCAUCACAUCCUGCGUAGUUCUUGUAAGUCAAUACAAUUGCAAUUUCUAAGGAGUUGCACGAAUACGAGAAUAAACAGUCGGAGAACAUAAUUGUAUUAUAUAACAUAACUCAAUACUUCAGGUAAGGCCGGAUCUAUUCCUGCGUAGUUGUGGGUUUUCUGUAUCAGGAAAUUAUUAGAGAAUAUAAGCAACAAAGUGUUUAACGUUUCUUAAUAAUAAUUAGAGAAUACAAUACCUACUUUCGUGUGAAGACCUUUGUAUUUUGGACGCGAUCGAUCCACGAUUCGGUAACUUCUCAAUUCUAUAUUUAAUAAUUCUUUUGAAAAGGCAAUAGUAGAAGACAGUAGAAAGUUUCUUUUCACACUGUAGUACCUUUUACCUUUUGCUUUACUUUUACUUAUAGUUGCUACAAGAAGAUGAACAAAAGACAGAUUAGAUCCAUAAGACGUAGACACUAAGGAUUAGCUAUAGAAGUAGAAAAUAAGAAAGAUGUAAACCAUCGGAAGCCAUCCUAAGUCGUCUAGGUAGGAUUAUAUAUAAAUUGUAGGAAAUGUAGUGAAAUAUAACAAACUUCUGAGUGGAAAAGAAACGAAUGGUUUAUUUAAUGAAAUAGUGUGUGAUACAAUGAGGUAGUCACGUGGCAAAGAACUGAACUUUCUGCUCGGCAUAGUCCCGUCCCGUUAACUAAAGAAAAUAGUGGGAAACAAACAUAUAAUAAUCACCUGGAUCCCGUCACACCAGGGAAUCGAAGGAAACGAACAAGCCGACUCCUUAGCCAAACAAGCAACAAUCGACCAAACAAAAGAAACCAACAUCCCAAUCCCACACCAAGACCUUCUAGCUUCAACGACCAAAGCGGAAAGAGAAGAAUGGAACAGAAUUUGGACUACGACGAAUAGAGCCAAGAUACAUGACAUAGCACACCAUUUCUAUCAAAAAAUACCAAAUAACAAUCUAAGCAGAAAAGAAAGGAUAGCUAUGACUAGGCUUCGAAUAGGACACUCCAAGAUCACACACGAAUACCUCUUAACCAAAACAGAACCUCCUUUCUGCAACACCUGCAACCUACAAAUCACCACCUAGCACCUGCUACAUGAAUGCAGAAAAUACCGAAGCAU